GGUGAGAUCGUGCCCUUUGGUUCGGAAUAACCCUGGGAAACUGGGAGUAAUACCGGAUGUGCCCUUCGGGGGAAAGAUUUAUCGCCAAAGGAUCGGCCCGCGUUGGAUUAGGUAGUUGGUGAGGUAAUGGCUCACCAAGCCGACCAUCCAUAGCUGGUUUGAGAGGAUGAUCACCCACACUGGGACUGAGACACGGCCCACACUCCUACGGGAGGCAGCAGUGGGGAAUCUUACACAAUGGGGGAAACCCUGAUCUAGCCAUGCCGCGUGAUCGAUGAAGGCCUUAGGUUGUAAAGAUCUUUCAAAUGGGAAGAUAAUGACGGUACCAUCAGAAGAAGCCCCGGCUAACUCCGUGCCAGCAGCCGCGGUAAUACGGAGGGGGCUAGCGUUAUUCGGAAUUACUGGGCGUAAAGCGCACGUAGGCGGACUGGAAAGUCCGAGGUGAAAUCCCAGGGCUCAACCUUGGAACUGCCUUUGAAACUCCCAGUCUUGAGGUCGACAGAAGUGAGUGGAAUUCCCAGUGUAGAGGUGACAUUCCUCAUAUUCGGAGGAACCCACUGGCGAAGGCGGCUCAUGGCUCCACCUGACGCUGAGGGCGAAACCUGGGAGCAAACGGAUUAAUACCCUGGUGUCCCGCGGUAAGGAUAAUGCCGUCCUCGGUAUCUGCCAUUCCUGAUACCCGACGGACAAGCAUUCGCC
rnacentral:rRNA from 1 species